rnacentral:rRNA from 1 species
AAGCUCGUAGUUGAAUUUCGGGAUUAGUACGUCGGUCGUGCCUUAGGUACGUACUGGUGUUACUGGUUCCUACCUUCUGACGAACCAUCAUGUCAUUGAUUUGGUGUGGUGGGGAAUCAGGACUGUUACUUUGAAAAAAUUAGAGUGUUUAAAGCAGGCUCGCGCUUGAAUACAUUAGCAUGGAAUAAUGAAAUAGGACGUUGAUCCUACUUUGUUGGUUUCUAGGAUUGACGUAAUGAUUAAUAGGGAUAGUUGGG